AGAAAAGUCUGUAACCAGCCUCUUGAGCUGCUUUCUCUCACUCCCACUUUGUGGAGUGUACUUUAGUUUCAAUAAAUCUGUGCUUUUUUUUUUUUUCAUUGCUUUGUUUGUGCGUUUAUCCAAUUAUUUGUUCAAAAUGCCAGGAAUCUGGACACCCUCCACCAGUAAUAGGUAACAGUUUUGGUUCUGUGUAUCUUCAGAGCUGUUACUAGCCAGGCACUCCUUCUUGAUAAUUUGCAAAGAAAAUACUCUGAAGAGUCUGAAGUUCACUUGUUGAACCCAAUGUUUUCCCCCAGGCAUUGGGAAGGGGAAGGCAGAAAAGCAGACUGUAAGAUCAAGUGGUAGUGGAUGCUAACAGAGAAUCUUUGGACAGGAUGGGACAGAAACAAAGUCAUGCAUGUUCUAUCUAUCUGUCACCUGUGGACAACUUGCCACUUCAACAGUUCUGGACGCUUUUAAAUCCCCUAAGGAGAAGCUAAAUACUGUGCUGGUUAUCCCCAUCCAUAACUCCUCCCAGAGGGCCCCAUAUCCUAUCUUCCAGAAGAGCUAAUAGUCCAUGGUAAGUUAUGCAUUUGGACUAUGAUCAAGUGGAAUAAAAUAUUAUUUUCCCUUUUAUCCAACUGGCAAAUUGCAUACUCUUCCUCUAAAGUCAACUGGAUGCAAUGCUUUAAAAAGACUUCCUUGAUAACAUACUGUGAGUUCUUUGAACACCUUAAUUAUGUCCCAAUGACAUAUGUCUUGGCAUUGCAUUUCAAUUAUUUGUCUGUAUUGCUGUUCUGAGGGAAAGAUCCGUGAUUUAUUUACCUUUAUAAUUUCAGUACUAAGUAUAAUACCUUGCACAUAGAAAGAGUUGAAUAAACAACUGAUGGAGAAAUGAAUAAAGGAACAAAUAAAUGUUCUGUUAAGGGAAACAGUUAUAAACAAGGAAGACUAAGAAAAAGGAGCAGUUAAUUCUGUAUCAAGGCAUCUAAACCAAUUUGAUUUACUUAAAUGGCUUUGUCUCUAAAUGAAAAUACAAAGUUUAUUUUUAAAAAAUUUCAACUUAUAAAGAAAAAACUCAUAAUAGUUUGUCUGUAUAUAUCCAGAUAAUAAAAAAAACUCUGUCUAGAUUAUUAUAGUUUAUAUGCUAAGAAUAAAGGUGAUACAAAAUGUUCAACAGAAGUACUAUUAUUUCCAAAGAAAGGGAAAGAUAAACUUACAUAUUCUCUAUUUUCUUAGUCUGUGUAAUUCACUUUAUUCAGUUCCAAAAGAAAAAAGUCUUAGAAGACCCAGAUCAUAAAUUCCUUUACCAGAACAUAAAUUCUUUCAUCCAAUGACCUGAUUUUUUUUUUCUUUUCUUUUUUUUUUUUUUUGAGACGGAGUUUCACUCAUGUUACCCAGGCUGGAGUGCAAUGG